rnacentral:rRNA from 1 species
UACGUAGGGCGCAAGCGUUGUCCGGAAUUAUUGGGCGUAAAGAGCUCGUAGGUGGUGUGUCGCGUCUGCCGUGAAAGCCCGGGGCUUAACUCCGGGUCUGCGGUGGAUACGGGCAGACUAGAGGCAGGUAGGGGAGAACGGAAUUCCCGGUGUAGCGGUGAAAUGCGCAGAUAUCAGGAGGAACACCGGUGGCGAAGGCGGGACUCUGGGCCGAUACUGACGCUGAGGAGCGAAAGCGUGGGGAGCAAACAGG